rfam:Tuber melanosporum whole genome shotgun sequence assembly, scaffold_24, strain Mel28
GCCUCUAUGGCCAAGGGGUAAGGCGCAGCACUUGUAUUUCCAUCGGGAUCGCAAUGCUGAGAUCAUGAGUUCAAAUCUCAUUGGAGGCA